rnacentral:misc_RNA from 1 species
GAUGAAGAACGCAGCGAAAUGCGAUAAGUAAUGUGAAUUGCAGAAUUCAGUGAAUCAUCGAAUCUUUGAACGCACAUUGCGCCCGCUAGUAUUCUGGCGGGCAUGCCUGUCCGAGCGUCACUUCAACCCUCAAGCCCCCGGGCUUGGUGUUGGGGAUCGGCGAGCCUCCGCGCCCGCCGUCCCCUAAAUCUAGUGGCGGUCUCGCUGUAGCUUCCUCUGCGUAGUAGCACACCUCGCACUGGGAAACAGCGCGGCCACGCCGUUAAACCCCCAACUUCUGAACGUUUGACCUCGGAUCAGGUAGGAAUACCCGCUGAACUUAAGCAUAUCAAUAAGCGGAGGA